rnacentral:rRNA from 1 species
UACGUAGGGGGCUAGCGUUGUUCGGAAUUACUGGGCGUAAAGCGCGCGUAGGCGGACCUGCAAGUCGGGGGUGAAAGCCCGAGGCUCAACCUCGGAACUGCCUUCGAUACUGCGGGUCUCGAGUCCGGGAGAGGUGAGUGGAAUUCCUAGUGUAGAGGUGAAAUUCGUAGAUAUUAGGAAGAACACCAGUGGCGAAGGCGGCUCACUGGCCCGGUACUGACGCUCAGGCACGAAAGCGUGGGGAGCAAACAGG